GGGAAAGUGCCCUAAUGUCCUAAUUUCUGAUACAGAGGGAAGAAUUUGGCUUCAGCCUCCAGGAUGCUAGAGGGAAGCACAUCUCCUCUUCAGGAGAACCCCACAGCAGGACCCUGAGUCAGCUUCUCUUCCAACAGCCAACUUCUGCUGCUGCAGUGUCCCCUGACUGGACCUGCCCCUGUACCACCUCUCAGCAGGUAAGAAUGGAUAUCCACAGAGCAGAGAAAAGUGAGACUCAGGAAACAGGGUCCUGUGGUGGCAGAAGUUCUUCACGCCAUCAAUGUCAGUCCUAGUCUCCCUCUUCCCCCGUAGCAGACUUAGGGACACUCUUAGCCAAGGCAGGUGGACGGUCUGACGACACCCACCAUUCUGAAACUCCUUUCCUCGUCCUGAGUCAGGUCAUUCAACAGCACUGGAAUGAAACUGCCUCACCCUGGCUCCCAUCCUAAGUUGGCACUUGCUGAGUUAGGAACCACCAAUGCAGCCUGCCAGAGGUCCCUAAAUGACCCGUCAGUCUAAAUGUGCCCGUGUGCCCAAGGAGCCUGACAUCAAGGCCCCAGGGUGGCCCUGAACAAUUGACUCAGGUUUCCUUCCACGUCACCUUGCUGGAGGCCAGUACCCACUAGUGUCCUCUGGAGCCAGCACGGAUGUCUGUUUGUCACCACCCCUGUUGUGGGAAACUGUUCUCUCAGCAGUAUAGCCAUUGCCUUCUUCAUCCGAGCAGCAG
rnacentral:lncRNA from 1 species